GUAUCCGGGUCGCUGCUUUCCCUAUUGUCUGAGGCAGCCGCCCUCGCGCUGUGCAAUUUCUGGUCUUUCGUUGCUUCUGGUCCAGGCUAAUAAAGUUUUUCUUUCUUUGAUUUUUUUUUUCUUCUAGUUUUAACGGGAGAAAUUAACUCCCCGGGGCCGCCGGGUUGACUGCGCUGCCUGGGCCGGAGGUCUUCUCCGGCCAGGGAGCGCUGUGGGAAGGGGCUCGAGCGGCCAGGGCCAGGCGAGGCCGGGGGGGCGGGGGGUUAGGGGACCGCGGGGCUACUCUUGGGAGCGCCCCUGUCCGGUUGGCUGCGCGCCGGUUUUAAAUAGCAUCUUUAGGACUUGUCUUCGCGGCCCCAGUCCCCGACCUCGGCGCUGCCUGGGCUCCUGCAGCCUCUCCCUAAGUCUUCUCCAAACGACCACCUCACGGAUUCCUUAUGGAUCGCAGCUCCAAGAGGAGGCAGGUGAAGCCUUUGGCAGCUUCUCUGCUGGAAGCUCUUGAUUAUGAUAGUUCAGAUGACAGUGAUUUUAAAGUUGGAGAUGCCUCAGGACUCGCUGAUUCUUGAGAAGAGUCAAAACUGGAGCUCUCAAAAAAUGGACCAUAUUCUGAUUUGCUGUGUUUGUCUGGGAGAUAAUAGUGAGGACGCUGAUGAAAUAAUUCAGUGUGACAAUUGUGGCAUUACAGUCCAUGAAGGUUGUUAUGGAGUUGAUGGAGAGAGUGACUCUAUUAUGAGUUCAGCUUCUGAAAACUCCACUGAACCUUGGUUUUGUGAUGCCUGUAAAUGUGGUGUUUCUCCUAGCUGUGAACUGUGUCCUAAUCAGGAUGGAAUUUUCAAGGAGACAGAUGCUGGAAGAUGGGUUCAUAUUGUUUGUGCCCUGUAUGUUCCUGGAGUAGCCUUUGGAGAUAUUGACAAAUUACGACCAGUAACACUAACGGAAAUGAACUAUUCCAAAUAUGGUGCCAAGGAGUGUAGCUUUUGUGAAGACCCUCGCUUUGCUAGAACUGGGGUUUGCAUUAGCUGUGAUGCAGGGAUGUGCAGAGCCUA
rnacentral:sRNA from 1 species